rnacentral:rRNA from 1 species
AGAACCUUACCAGCUCUUGACAUUCGGGGUAUGGGCAUUGGAGACGAUGUCCUUCAGUUAGGCUGGCCCCAGAACAGGUGCUGCAUGGCUGUCGUCAGCUCGUGUCGUGAGAUGUUGGGUUAAGUCCCGCAACGAGCGCAACCCUCGCCCUUAGUUGCCAGCAUUUAGUUGGGCACUCUAAGGGGACUGCCGGUGAUAAGCCGAGAGGAAGGUGGGGAUGACGUCAAGUCCUCAUGGCCCUUACGGGCUGGGCUACACACGUGCUACAAUGGUGGUGUCAGUGGGCAGCGAGACAGCGAUGUCGAGCUAAUCUCCAAACCCCCUCUCAUUCGGAUUGCACUCUGCAACUCGAUGCAUGAAGUUGGAAUCGCUAGUAAUCGCAGAUCAG